GAACUGGAUUUUUUAAAAUCCACAUUCUGACCCAGAUUAUAGGACU
rfam:Anolis carolinensis chromosome 4, whole genome shotgun sequence.